AAAUUUGAUAGGGCCUCCCUACUCCAUUGCCACGAUGGACAUCUCAAAUAGUUUGGUUUGUUUGCUUGUUUUUUAAGGAAGAGGUUCAUGCCAGUUGCAGACGCACUACAGCUAUGGAAUCAAAGUACUUAACCCCCUAGGUCAAUCCUAAAUCUCUACAAGUGUGAAGUGAACGUGCUGUGGGGAAGAGUAACGGAGCUAAGGGAUCGAACUCGGGUCCUUACGCAGCAGGCAGCGAAACCACUGAGCUAAAUCCCCAGCCCAAAGGGAAGUUUAUAAGAACAGAAUUAGAAGACUAUGGAAUCAAGCUGUUUUGCUGAAGGAAUAAAGAGACACACAGCUCUUGAGCUCUGGAGAUGCAGCUCCAACUGUCAUGCUCUGGUGCUGUCCUGAUGCUGAUGAUUGACUCUCUG
ensembl:lncRNA